rnacentral:misc_RNA from 1 species
CCAGAGCAGAACAAGACAAGUACCAUGGGGUCAUUCUUCUUCCAGAGGGGCUCAUAGAAAGCAUUCCCGAAGUUUAUGCUCUCUUGAAGGAAAUACAUGGUUUGCUAAGGCAAGGUGUUGCCUCCAACAACAUUUCAUCUCAACUCUCACCAUGGGCUUCUGCUUUGUUUGAAUUCUUGCCACCCUUUAUCAAGAAACAGCUGCUCCUUUACCCUGAAUCAGAUGACUCAGCACAGUUAUCCCAGAUUGAGACGGAGAAACUUCUAGCGCAUCUUGUCGAGGCAGAAAUGAGCAAGCGGCUGAAAGAAGGCACAUACAAGGGGAAAAAAUUCAAUGCUAUCUGCCACUUUUUUGGUUAUCAGGCCCGGGGUUCUGUGCCAUC